rnacentral:rRNA from 1 species
UACGUAGGGUGCAAGCGUUGUCCGGAAUUAUUGGGCGUAAAGAGCUCGUAGGCGGUUUGUUGCGUCGGCUGUGAAAACCUGAGGCUCAACCUCAGGCCUGCAGUCGAUACGAGCAGACUAGAGUGUUGCAGGGGAGACUGGAAUUCCUGGUGUAGCGGUGAAAUGCGCAGAGUAUCAGGAGGAACACCGGUGGCGAAGGCGGGUCUCUGGGCAACAACUGACGCUGGAGGAGCGAAAGCCGUGGGGAGCAAACAGG